rnacentral:lncRNA from 1 species
ACCAAAAAGGACGACCCAGUCACCUAUCAGCUCCUGUUUGGAACCAUGCCCCUAAAACCGACAUACAUUCAGCUCCAGAUGGCAGAUCAAACAUUCCGAAAGGUUGAAGGUUAUUGACAUGGGAGAAGACGAGUACAAUCCACCUAUCAUCCUUGGAAGACCGUUCCUCAGCACUGUUUAAGCAAUCAUUUACAUUGGAACUGGAGAAGUCCACAUGCACUUCCCCUCUAACAUGGUACGUCGCUAUUUUACUGACCCUAAAUAUAUAGUUGAAGACUCUAAGCAGGUCAGGACAAGAAGAAGACGAUGCAACCGCAACCAGAGGAGGAAAAUCAUCAAGGACGGAUGGGCGGACUACGAAGGAGAAGUGCACCGAGUCAGGUGUGGAGAAAGAAGAUAGUUAUACAUGAAGAGUACGCACCGCCGGAAUCACCAACUACGCCAUCCAGCGAAUCCCAGGACGCCUGAGAAAAUGGAGAGUCCCGCUCAGAGGACUUAGAAAAAACACCGAAUGCCUUGCCAAGAGGUAAACUUGGUAGUUAUCCUUUUCCUUUCAAUUAUUUUAAAAUAGUUUGCUUAGUUAAUCUGGUUCAUAUCAUCUUGAAAAGAAAAUAAAAAUGUUAAAAAAUAGUAAGCCCCAUGUGAGUAUGCUCAUGGCAUAAAACCCAUAAGUACAAUCACUGUGGUGGCGUAAAAAUGAAAUAAAUAUAUUCCUAUCCUAUAAAAAUAAAAUUAUAAAAAUAAAAUUAUGAUCCUACUAAAGAGAGUAACAUUUAUUAAGGAGGCUCAACAUGAUAAAGGCUAGAUAUUUAUGCUAACACUUAACCAGUUCCACAAAGCUUUGUUGUCUAUUUGAGCUCCACAGAAUUUAAGGAUCAAAGAAGAUUAGUAGACGGAGGACAUCCUAAUCGCUGUCAGAGUGCUGCCGACAUUCAAAUACACCUCUGCCACAUGCUAGGUACAUCCGAAGAAAUUAUGUCAAAAUCCAGCUUGGGGGAGAGCACCCCCAUUUAUCCAGCUAAGUAUUCUACGCACAUUUAUACUUUACUCUAAUAAUAAAAAGAUGCAUAAUCAUAUAAACCCAAAUAAAGAUUUUGUGCUUAUAUAUAUAUAUCUUUGCUUAGUUUGCUAAAUAAAUAAAUAAAUAAAAUUUGCUAUGAACCCUCAUGAUAAGCUCUCAAAUGGAAAUGAUGAAUAGUUGCUCUACCAUGACUAGUUCUCAAAAUUGAAAUCUCUCUCAAGUUUAGGCAUGACUGUUAUUAAUUAAGAUUUGCUCUAAACCUGAACUUGUGGGAAGAGUACUUGAUCUAAAGUCUAAGUUGUUAACGGAUAUGAUAUAGGAAGGUUGAGCUGCUGUUUACCUGUUCCUAGAGAUGCUAGAAUUCUGGAGAAUUUUAUCUUUGAAAAUAUUUAAAAUAUCACAUGAUGAGUUCCUGUAUGAUGAGAGUUUAAAUUCCUACCACAGCCAUACAUACAUGCUUGCUAGACUUUGAGCCACACAUUUACUUUUUACUGCUUAUGAGCAUUGAGUGUGGUCAAGCUGUGUAGACCCUUAGGAGCUUGUCAUGUGGUUAAAUCAAGAUUCACUUGCACGUUCACUCAUACAUGCUACUUCUACUUCGGAAGUACGCAUCCACAUACAUCCACUCAUUUCCAUCUCUAGAACCAUCCAAAAAUAUUCUACUCCUAAUCCUGGAGAGAAUAGCCAAAAACAUUUCUGUUUUCCCUGUGAAAUAAAUGCUCAAGUUAUCUUGGUUACUACCACUUGCUACAUCAUUUCAAGAGAUGAGUGCUCUGAAAAAAAGAGAAAAAAAAGAAAGAAUACGAGGAAAUAAAAAGGGGCAAGUGCCCGAAACCUCGAAAGAAAAGAAAAAAGUGAGACGAGAGGUAAAAAUGGACAAGUGUCCGACAGUAGAAUUAGGGGUACAAGAUACCCACCUGAGAGGAAAGAAAAAGAAAAUACAGAGCAUCUCAUUCUCCCCAAAAAUUUCAAAAGAGCAAGGAAGGUAUGUAUCCCCUCAAAAGAGCAAAAGUAGAAUUAGACUUUCACCAUUGUUAUCACCAUCAUUACCAUGCACCAUUCAUUCGCCACACAUGCACAUCUUGAUUUGACUUAUUGACUUGGUCUUCUGGAUCCAUGGUUUGACUAUGCAAUAAAUGUCUUGUAAGUAUGUAUUAGCUGUCUCCCACCUAUGAGCUCCAGAUAUCAAAAGCCUUAUUAGAGUAGGGUGAGAGAGAAGGCAAUGCCACUAUGCCUUAUACCAAAAAUACCACAUACCUUGAGAGAAGACAUACAUCAUUACUGCCUUGGUAAGGAUCCAGAAAUACCACAAAUGAGAGACUAGAGAGAGUCAUACAAGGAAUCUCUGAGUUUUAUUUGAAAAUCUGCAAAAACUCCAGAGCUAUAGUUAAUCGAAGAACAAGAGACAUGGCGCUUGACUAGACCGUUCUAUCUUUUAACUACUCAAGACAGAAGUGACGGUUACAAGCCCCAUGGUGGAAGGUAAAAUGAGUAAGUUUAAAUCUUAACAGUUUACCUCAACCCAGAUGAGAUCUUGUUUGAGCGCAUGUGUACCUUUAAGGCAUGAAACCACUGCAGAAACUCUUGAGUCCAUCUUUGCUCAGGGACGAGCAAAGGUUAAGCUUGGGGGAGCUUGUUGACGGUCCUUAAUGCUCACAUUUAACCAUCAACUAAUAAUGGAAAAGGAUCCAAAUGCAACUAACACCUAGACUUAGGGUUUUAUCUGACAGAAUUCCACGAGUUUUGGUGUUUGUCUAUUUCUGUAGGGGGUUAUCAGGAAAUACGAAAGAAAGGCCCACAUGUCGGUUUACAUAGAGAUAUUAACGUGCCGCACAAUUUUCUAUCAUCUAGAAGACUCCAGAAGCCACGGGACCGAAGUGGAGGCCGAGAGGACUCAGGGACAGGGCGCCCGCCCUCCUCUCCUGGGCGCCCGCCCUCACAUAGAGUCCAAUCAGGACUCUCUUUCGGGAUAUUGCUCCACCGACCUAAAGGAUCAAGGAUAACCGUUCAAUCAAUGUCGGUUUGAUCCAACGACCCAUAUUCACUUGAAGGGACUAUAAAACCAGACCCCCUGGCCACUGGAGAUCAUACCUCUUCUACAGAAUCAAAGCUAGGGUUUCAAUUCUUCAUCCAAGUAGAUAGGAUCCCUCUAGUUCUUCUAGUUCUACCUCUAGUUCAUCUAGAUCUAGUUCUAGUUCAUCUAGUUCUAGUUCUAGUUCCUCUAGUUCUAGUUCUAGUUAGUUCUAGUUGUAAUCUAGAAAAUAGGGAGAGAGAAGAGGAGAGUGGAGGAGGAGCCGGAUCUGUCGGAUCUUCCUCAACAUUAUACUUUUGCAGCAUCUGGUUCGUUCUUCAUCGUUCUCCAGGUUCUUCAAUUCAUAAUUCCUAAGUUCUUUAAUUACUUUUAUUUACAUUCAAGUUAUUUAUUGGAUUCCCGCUUGCAUCAAGUGCUCUAGUCUUUAUAACGCUAGAGUAGUAAUUAAUAGAUUAGACAUGGUGUUUAGUCUUGCAAUUACCUGGAAUUGCACCCAAUCCUGCGGAUUGUUGUGGUAGCCUUAGGGUAGUGACAGCCCUAACGGUCGACGUAUUCCACCACGUUCGGAUCGGUGUUUGUAGGACCGUAGUCAGACCUUCCUAGCCCCCUUCUCAUCUCUUUUUGUGGUUAGUGCUCUGAUGUCCCGAUAUAAAUAAUCUUGGAAGUAAUUCUUGAUUCUUAGAUCAACUAGAGAACUCUCAGGAAACUUCCUCUCUUCCCACCAAAAAUAAUUAUAUAGUUAUCUUGGGCGAUCUUGGAUCUUAAUUAGUACACUCACGUUCCCUGUGGAAAAUCGAUACUCUGGAAUACUCCCGGGUGAAAGCUACAUCGGUAUCCGUGCGCUUGCGGAUUUUUUCUGUUUGCGUUUAAAAUACCCAAUAAGAUUUCUUGUUGACACAGGCUAACACCACUUGAAUACUAGGUUGUCAUCCCAGCAUGGCACUAGAGUGUACUAUGGUAUUUAUACGCACACAGAUAAUCCGCAAGCGCACGGAUACCGUUAUAGCUUUUACCCGGUUAAAGGUUUUAUCGUAUCCACAGGGAAACGGGAGAACUAAUCUACGCUCUAACUUAACCAAGAUAAGUCAAUAGGUGUAAAUAGGAAAGAUGGUAGAAUCGAAUAAGAACAAUAUUAAAGGUAAGAUAACAGUGAGUGAUAAUAUGGGAAUAUAGAAUAGAGCAAUUCUAGUAUAUGGGCCAUGGUAGCAGAAUAGAGAGAAUAACUAUGGUUUCUCUACUUCAAAGGGGUAUGUCUAUGUCUGGGACGAACCAUGUGAUAAGAAGACACCACAAAGGAUGCUUAUCCAUAGGCUGAUAAACCCUACCCGUCCUGCUAACGAGAGGUGGACUACAGAGGACCAACGUAACUGUCACCUACGCGGCCUACCACACGAUCCAGCUAGACAAGGGAUAUCCACAAGUAAUCUAGGUCUAAGCACCACGCUUACACCUAUACUACAACUCUAACCUAUAGGGUCCUAUAGAUUAGAAGUACUCAAAAGAGUUGUGAACCAGAACAUACAUGAUUAGUAAUUGCAUAUUGAAUUAGAAGUAGAUUACCAGAGUCAUCCCAUGAGCAAACUUGAUUAGAGCUUGAUCAUGACGAAGUACAACCGGAGGAAGAACCGACAGGCCGGCCUCUCCUCUAAUCCUCCUUCGCCCUCCAUCUCGCUACUAUCUAGAUCUACUCUAGUUUAGAGAAGAGAGGAGAGCUCUCAUCUCUAAACCCUAGCUUUUGCUCUGUCUAUGAAUAAUGAAUAAUGAUCAAGGGGUGCCUCCUCCAGGGGCCAGGGGGUCUGGUUAUAUAGUCCCCUCAAGUGAACCUGGGCCGUCGGAUCAAACCGACAUUGAUUGAACGGUUAUUCUUGAUCCUUUAGGUCGGUGCAGUGUAAUCCCCGAAGAGAGUCCUGAUUGGACUCUGUAGCUGGGCGGGCGCCCAAGGGGGGUGGGCGGGCGCCCUGCCCCCGAGCCCGCUCGGCCUCCCGUUCGUUCCUGUGGCUUCUGGAGUCUUCUAGAUGAUAGAAAAUUGCGCGGCACGUUAAUAUCUCUAUGUAAACCCGACGUGUGGGCCUUCUCUCCAUAUUUCCUGAUAACCCCCUACAGAAAUAGACAAACACCAAAACUCGUGGAAUUCUGUCAGAUAAAACCCUAAGUUUAGAUGUUGGUUGUAUUUGGAUCCUUUUCUUUGUUUAUUUGCUGAUUAUAUUUGGUACUUAAGGACCGUCAACAACUCCCCCAAGCUUACCACUUGCUCAUCCCUGAGCAAGGAUGGACUCAAGAGUUUCUACAGUGGUUUUAUGCCUUAAAGGUACACAUGCGUUUAAACAAGAUCUCAUCUUUGGUAAGGAUCCAGAAAUACCACAAAAGAGAGACUAGAGAGAGUCAUACAAGGAAUCUUUGAGUUUUAUUUGAAAAUCUACAAAAACUCCAGAGCUAUAGUUAAUCGAAGAACAUGAGACAUGGCGCUUGAUUAGACCGUUCUAUCUUUUAACUACUCAAGACACAAGUGACGGUUGCAAUCCCCAUGGUGGAAGGUACAAUGAGUAAGUUUAAAUCUUAACAGUUUACCCUAACCUAGAGAUGAGAUCUUGUUUGAACAUAUGUGUACCUUUAAAGAAUGAAACCACUGCAGAAACUCUUGAGUCUAUCUUUGCUCAGGGACGAGCAAAGGUUAAGCUUGGGGGAGCUUUUUGACGGUCCUUAAUGCUUACAUUUAACCAUCAACUAAUCAUGGAAAAGGAUCCAAAUGCAACCAACACCUAGACUUAGGAUUUUAUCCGACAGAAUUCCACAAGUUUUGGUGUUUGUCUAUUUCUGCAGGGGGUUAUGAGGAAAUACGGAAGAAAGGCCCACACGUCGGGUUUACAUAGAGAUAUUAACGUGCCGCGCAGUUUUCUAUCAUCUAGAAGACUCCAGAAGCCACGGGAAGGAAGCGGAGGCUGAGAGGGCUCAGGGACAGGGCACCCGCCCAAGUCCUGAGGGCGCCCGCCCUGGAGUUCUGCCCAAUCACGUCCAAACUCGCGGAUCGUGCUCCACCGACCUAAAGGAUCAAGGAUAACCAUUCAAUCAAUGUCGGUUUGAUCCAACGGUCCAUAUUCACUUGAAGGGACUAUAAAACCAGACCCCCCUGGCCCCUGGAGAUCAUACCUCUUCUACAGAAUCAAAGUUAGGGUUUCAAUUCUUCAUCCAAGUAGAGAGGAUCCCUCUAGUUCUUCUAGUUCUACCUCUAGUUCAUCUAGAUCUAGUUCUAGUUCAUCUAGUUCUAGUUCUAGUUCCUCUAGUUCUAGUUCUAAUUAGUUCUAGUUGUAAUCUAGAAAAUAGGGAGAGAGAAGAGGAGAGCGGAGGAGGAGCCGGAUCUGUCAGAUCUUCCUCAACAUUAUGCUUUUGCAGCAUCUGGUUCGUUCUUCAUCGUUCUCUAGGUUCUUCAAUUCAUAAUUCCUGAGUUCUUUAAUUACUUUUAUUUACAUUCAAGUUAUUUAUUGGAUUCUCGCUUGCAUCAAGUGCUCUAGUCUUUAUAACGCUAGAGUAGUAAUUAAUAGAUUAGACGUGGUGUUUAGUCUUGCGAUUACCUGGAAUUGCACCCAAUCCUGCGGAUUGUUGUGGUAGCCUUAGGGUAGUGACAGCCCUAACGGUCGACGUAUUCCACCUUGUUCGGAUCGGUGUUUGUAGGACCGUAGUCAAACCUUCCUAGCCCCCUUCUCAUCUCUUUCUGUGGUUAGUGCUCUAAUGUUCCGAUAUAGAUAAUCUUGAAGUAAUUCUUGAUUCUUAGAUCAAUUAGAGAACUCUCAGGAAACUUCCUCUCUUCCCACCAAAAAUAAUUAUAUAGUUAUCCUUGGGCGAUCUUGGAUCUUAAUUAGUACACUCACGUUCUCUGUGGAAAAUCGAUACUCUGGAAUACUCCUGGGUGAAGGCUACAUCGGUAUCCGUGCGCUUGCGGAUUUUUCUAUUUGCGUUUAAAAUACCCAACAAGCCUUCUGGCGCCGUUGCCGGGGAGAAAGACGGUUUGCUGAGAUAACUUUAAGUCUUGCUAUUAUCUUGUAUUAUACUUUUAUACUUUUAUUCUUUUAUCUUUUUAUUUUUAUCUUUAUGGAUAACUUAAAUUCCAUACCUAUUAUUGAAUUCUUUGCACCUUCGGAGACCAGCCAUAGACCAUGGGAGUCAACAAGUCGUGCCCCUAAUUAUGAUCUGUGUCCGGAGUUGAUUGCAAUAGGUCAAAACCAACUCUUUUCUAUAGCCGAGGUCCUAUCUUUUAAUCAAGAAGAUAAUGCACUUUUAGCUACACCUAGGGAAUCUUUUAAUCUUUCUAUAAAUUCUGGUUUAGACCUAGCCCUACAAGACCAUGUUUUUUCUCGAUAUUUUCACAUUGGUCUUAAUCAUAUAACCUUUGGUAGAGUCUUUCUUUCUUUAUCUAUUAGUAAAGGAAGGUAUGUCUUCAUUUGUGGACAUCCUUCUUGUACUAGUCUUCAUAGAAAAAUCUUAGAGAUAGAGAAGGAAUCAUCUCCCAGACAAGGAAAGGAAGUUUCAAUAGCCAAUUUCCAAAUAUUCCAAUCCCAUGAUUCGGCUAUCCAACCCAUCCUUGAGCUUAAUAAUUUCUACUACGCUCUUGCUCUUGAACCUCCCGAUAAUCCUAUGAAUCUCUCUAGACAUCCCAUGCAUAAGAGUCACCAAGACCACAAGGAGGAUGGAGAAGAGCAACAUCAAUGGCUAGAGGGCAUUAAAAAUCCAUGUGCUAUCACCAUUGAAUGGAUGGAUAAAACAAACUUGAGAGACAAUGCUAGAGGAAUUUUAAGCAUUCAUGAAGAAUCAUCCUUGGAGUUUGAGAAUGAGAGAAACAACAGUGAGCAUGGAAGUUAUUUCAUAAAUACCUCACCAAAUCCUUGUUCAUAUAAGACAUUUCCUCAAUCAAUUGGUCUCUCCAACCUUACUACAUUUGCGAUCUCCAACCCCCUCUUCCUUUCUAUUUAUAAAAACUUUAAAAGGGCAGUUGUCGAUGUAUAUGUCUAUAAUAAAUAUUGCAGAUCUCGUUGAUCUUGAUAUAGGUCAGCGUUGGAGGGGAAACCACUUCGCCGAUAUAAAUUGAUGGUUUCCCAAGGAUAAGCUUAGCGUCCUAAAACAAACACUUAUCAGAUCGUAACAUGAACUUCUAAUUAUUUGCAACAUUGCCUUGUGUAUUGAGCAUAUAAAGAUAAUUGUAGAAAUAUUCCUUCGGGUAUUCGUGUCACUAACCUUUCUAGGAUUGGAGCAAGAAGAUCCGAGGAAUGACAAGCGCAAGGUAUGCCCAACCAAUCAUCAUGCAACAUUACAUUAAAUUCAUCCAAUCUUGAAUUUUGCAAAAUUCAAGCUUGGGGGAGUACUUUACAUAAAAACAUCAUUUGCCAUGUUGCUAUGUUGGUUGUCCUUACCUUUGAGACAUUCUCAAUUUGUUAAAUACUAAUCACACUACUUCAUCUCCACUUGAGUAGAUCUCAUAAAUGCCAUCACGCUACCUUUGUUUAUCCUAGUAAGUGUUAGUUUGGAAGUACUGCACAUACUUCUAUUGGCUUUUAAAUUAAGCAUGGUGCUUAGGUUAAACAGCCUUCCCUAAUCUGAUUAGACAUGGAGUCUAGUUCGGUUAUUGAACUAAAAACUGCUUGUGUAGACAUUGGUACAUUUUGUCGGACUAACCCCUGCAGAAAAACUUUCAAUAUCAAUUUGGGAAGUCCUGGGAUACAAACUCACAUUGGAGAUAAAGGAGACACAUGAAAUUUAACGACUUGCACAAGGAAGACAUAGCUCAUUCAUCAUAAAGAGAUGAUCCAUGGAGGGUGCCACAAACACGAUGCACAACCGCUAAGAAAGGAAAGCUUCCACAAGGUGAUACUGUACCAUCACUCUUCAAUUAAGGCACACUUCUAGCAAAACAUGGAGGAGUUUUACAACUCCCAGACUCCACCAAGUGAAGGACCUGGAUCUACGAGCACAAACACACUGAGCAUGAUAUUGCCAACACCGCACUUUGAACUGCUGGGCAAACGAAGAAUGUGGGUGACACUGUAUCAAGAGGUACAGAUGUCAAGACCCACACCUAAUCAAAUGAUGCACCUAAAGGAUGAACACGCUGAGAAGUCUUGCCCAGAAGACUUAAAACAUUGGAUCCUUGUCGGAGAAAGUCAAGAUCGUCGACUCAAGUCGCCUUUCCUGAUCAAGAAGGACGACCCUAGUGUUCCAAGCAUCAAGUGCACAAUCAAUGGAUACUCUUUUCAGAAGACACUCUACGACACCGGAUCUGAUGACAACAUAAUGACCGUAGUCACUUAUCAGCUCCUGCAUGGAACCAUGCCCCUACAACCAAAAUAUAUUCAGAUCCAGAUGAUUUUUAGGUCAUUGACAUGGGAGAAGAUGAGUACGAUCCACCCAUCAUCCUUGGGAGACCGUUCCUCAACACUAUCAAAGCCAUCAUCUAUAUUGGAACCGGAGAAGUCCACAUACACUUUCCUCUGAAGAAGACGACGCAACUGAAACCAGAGGAGGCAAAUCAUCAAGGACGGAUGGGUAGACUACGAAGGAGAAGUGAUAAGGUUUGAAGAAAUACAGCUUGAAUAGAACUGUCCUGAGGAGACCAUAGCACCGAGGCAGGUGUGGAGGGAGAACAUAGUUAUACACAAAGAGGAGGCGCCACCGGAAUCACCGACUACGUCAUCCAGCAAAUCCCAGGACGACUAAGAAAACAGAGAGUCCCGUUCGGAGGACUUAAAAACACCGAACGUCUUGCCAAGAGGUAAACUUGGUAGUUAUCCUUUUCCCUUCAAUUAUUUUGUUUAGUUAAUCAGAUUCAUAUCAUCUCGAAAAGAAAAUAAAAAUGUUAAAAAUAGUAAGCCCCAUGUGAGUAUGCUCAUGGCAUAAAACCCAUAGGUACAUUCACUGUGGUGGCAUAAAAUAAAUAUGUUUCUAUCUUACAAUAAAAAUAUAAAAAUAAUAAGAUUGUGAUCCUACCAAAGAGAGUAACAUUUAUUGAGGAGGCUCAACAUGAUAAAGGCUAGAUAUUUAUGCUAACACUUAACCAGUUCCACAAAGCUUUGUUGUCUAUUUGAGCUCCACAGAAUUCAAAGAUCAAAGAAGACUAGCAGACGGAGGACAUCCUAAUCGCGGUCAGGGUGCUGCUGACAUUCAAAUACACCUCCGUCACCUGCUAGCUACAUCAGAAGAAAUUAUGUCAAAAUCCAGCUUGGGAGAGAGCAUCCCCAUUUAUCCAGCUAAGUGUUUCUACUCACGUUUAUACUUUACUCAAAUAAUAAAAAGAUGCAUAAUCAUUGAAACCCAAAUAAAAAUUUUAUGCUUAUAUCUUUGCUUAGUUUGCUAAAUAAAUAAAUAAAUAAAGUUUGCUAUCAACCCUCAUGAUAAGCUCUCACAUGGAAAUGAUAAAUAGUUGCUUUGCCAUGUACCUAGUUUUCAAGUUUGAGCUCUAUCUCAAGUUUAGGCAUAACUAUUAUAAUUUAAACCUGCUCUAAAGGGGAUAUCUAUGAGUACCCUAGCCUAAACACCACGUUUACACUAGCAAUGAUUACUCUAAUACUCAACCGGAAGAGGAUUAAAGUAAACUCAUAAACCAAAGAACAAUAAAACAAGAACUUACUAGAAUUAGAAGUCGAAUUACUGAAGAAUCUUAGGAGCAAGCCUCGGGUUAGAAGACUUGAUCCCGCAGGUACAACCUCGGAGUAGACACCGACAGGCCGGCCUUCCUCCGAUCUACACCUCCACUCUAUCUCUCUCAAUCUAGUAGAAACUAGAAGAUCUAAUUCUACUCACAUUGGAUGCUAAGCCUAAAAUAAAUUUUAUUUAGAGUUGAGAGGAGCCCUUGAAGGAAUACCUCUCCUCUAAAUAAAAUUUAUUUUAGGCUUAACAUCCAAUGUGAGUAGAAUUAGAUCUUCUAGUUUCUACUAGAUUGAGAGAGAUAGAGUGGAGGUGUAGAUCGGAUGAAGGCCGGCCUGUCGGUGUCUACUCCGAGGUUGUACCUGCGGGAUCAAGUCUUCUAACCCGAGGCUUGCUCCUAAGAUUCUUCAGUAAUUCGACUUCUAAUUCUAGUAAGUUCUUGUUUUAUUGUUCUUUGGUUUAUGAGUGGACCGAAGCGGAGGCCGAGAGGACUUAGGGACAGGGCGCCCACCCUACUCUCCUGGGCGCCCGCCCUCAUACAGAGUCCAAUCAGGACUCUCUUUCGGGAUAUUGCUCCACCGACCUAAAGGAUCAAGGAUAACCGUUCAAUCAAUGUCGGUUUGACCCAACGGCCCAGAUUCACUUGAAGGGACUAUAAAACCAGACCCCCUGGCCCCUGGAGAUCAUACCUCUUCUACAGAAUCAAAGUUAGGGUUUCAAUUCUUCAUCCAAGUAGAGAGGAUCCCUGUAGUUCUUCUAGUUCUACCUCUAGUUCAUCUAGAUCUAGUUCUAGUUCAUCUAGUUCUAGUUCUAGUUCCUCUAGUUCUAGUUCUAGUUAGUUCUAGUUGUAAUCUAGAAAAUAGGGAGAGAGAAGAGGAGAGCGGAGGAGGAGCCGGAUGUGUCGGAUCUUCCUCAACAUUAUACUUUUGCAGUAUCUGGUUCAUUCUUCAUCGUUCUCCAGGUUCUUCAAUUCAUAAUUCCUGAGUUCUUUAAUUACUUUUAUUUACAUUCAAGUUAUUUAUUGGAUUCCCGCUUGCAUCAAGUGCUCUAGUCUUUAUAACGCUAGAGUAGUAAUUAAUAGAUUAGACGUGGUGUUUAGUCUUGCAAUUACCUGGAAUUGCACCCAAUCCUGCGGAUUGUUGUGGUAGCCUUAGGGUAGUGACAGCCCUAACGGUCGACGUAUUCCACCACGUUCGGAUCGGUGUUUGUAGGACCGUAGUCAGACCUUCCUAGCCCCCUUCUCAUCUCUUUCUGUGGUUAGUGCUCUGAUGUCACGAUAUAAAUAAUCUUUGAAGUAAUUCUUGAUUCUUAGAUCAACUAGAGAACUCUCAGGAAACUUCCUCUGUUCCCACCAAAAAUAAUUAUAUAGUUAUCCUUGGGCGAUCUUAGAUCUUAAUUAGUGCACUCACGUUCCCUGUAGAAAAUCGAUACUCUAGAAUACUCCCGAGUGAAGGCUACAUCGGUAUCCGUGCACUUGCGGAUUUUUUUAUUUGCGUUUAAAAUACCCAACAAGCUUUGUGGCGCCGUUGCCGGGGAACGGUAGCUGUGCUAGUUUCGAACCAAGUCGUCCAUGUAUCCUUUUUCUUUUCCUUUUUGACCACACUCACCUUACCAUUUUCACCACACCACAUGGAUUUCACUAAGCAUUAAUGAGCAUGGAAUUUAUUUCAUAGCCACUUCAUUUACUCCAUGCUCAUAUGCAACAUCUUUCCAAUCCAUUGGUCUCUCCAACAUCACCACAUUCGAGAUCUCCAACCCCCUCUUCCUUUCUAUUUAUAAAAACUUUAAAAGGGCGGUUGUCGAUGCAUAUGUCUAUAUUAAAUAUUGCAGAUCUCGUUGAGUUGAUCUUGAUAUAGGUUAGCGUUGGAGGGGAAACCACUUCGCUGACAUAAAUUGAUGGUUUCCCAAGGACAAGCUUAGUGUCCUAAAACAAGCACUGAUCAGAUUGUAACAUGAGCUUUUAAUUAUUUGCAAUAUUACCUUGUGUGUUGAGCAUAUAAGGAUAAUUGUAAAAAUAUUCCUUCGGGUAUUCUUGUCACUAACCUUUUUAGGAUUGGAGCAAGCAGAUCGGAUGAAUGACAAGCACAAGGUAUGUCCAACCAAUCAUUAUACAACAUUGAAUUAAACUCAUCCAAACUUGAAUUUUGUAAAAUUCAAGCUUGGGGGAGUACUUUACAUAAAAACAUCCUUUGCUAUGUUGCUAUGUUGGUUGUCCCUACCUUUGAGACAUGCUCAAUUUGUUAAAUACUAAUCACACUACUUCAUCUCCACUUGAGUAGAUCUCUAUAAAUGCACUCAUACUACCUUUAUUUGCUUUAGUAUAUGUCUAGGCUUGGAGUAGUUUCAUUUAUCUCUUAAUUAAGCAUGGUGCUUAGUUUAGGAAUGAUGAUCUUACUUCCAAGGGAUUUUAAUUUAAGCAUGAUGCUUAGGUUAAAAUUCCCUCCUAAAUCAAAUUAGACAUGGUGUCUAGGUUGAUCUUUGAGCCGAUAGUAUGCUAUAGUAGAUAUUGGAUAUUUUGUUGGACUAACCCCUGCAGGAAAACUUUCAAUAUCGACCUGGGAAGUCCUGAGACAAACUCACAUUCGAGACAAAGAGAGAGGCACAUGAAGUUUAACAAUUUACACAAGGAAGGCAUAGCUCACAAGAGAUGAUCCAUGGAGGGUGCCACAAACACGAUGCACAACCACUAAGAAAGGAAAGCUUCCACAAGGUGAUACUGUACCAUCACUCUUCAAGUAAGGUAACAUCUUAAUGUACUUGACUAUCACUUUUAUAAAGCUUCUCCUUGGUUCUAGCAUUCACAUGAAUAAAAGAGACAAACAUAUAUGAUUUACAACUCUAGAUUAACCAACCCAAUCGAUUCAAUAUGUUUAGUCCUUUCAUCUUUGUGAUCCCACACUCCUAAUCAUAUGAACUAAAAUGUUGCACACCCAAUCUUUAGAAGAUAUAUUUCAUAAAAAACAACAUAAAUAUAGAUAGAUUAUCUUUCCAUUAGGUUGAGCGAUCUGAUCUGAUAAAUGUUUUAAAUGUUAUACUCAUGAUCUUAUUAUCCAUCAACUUUGUCUUGCUCACUAUGCUUGAGGUCAGAGAAGAACAAAUACACUUUUGGUUCUGUUGGUGUUUUCCACCAACAGGGCCCAUGCACCUGAUCUCUGCCUUGUCUCUAUGAGCAGGUACACUUCGAGCAAAAUAUGAAGGACUUUUACAACUCCCAGACUCCACCAAGUGAAGAACCUAGAUCUACGAGGACAAUGUUGACGGUGGAUAUACCAUAGAAAUCCACAUACAAAACACCGUCAACAUGCCUCGGUUGCAAGAGGAAACGACAUGACAUGAACAUAUUUUAUCCAUAACUAGUUCCACUUGUACUCUUAGCUUGUUUAUGCAGGAACAACAAAUUCAAGACAUUAUUUGACAAAGCCAACAUCAGAAUCAUCAAGAGGAGAUCGAGGGGACAACAGGUGACACCCUGGGCCCACAGGGAGGGGGUCGCCCGACCCCUCUUUGGUGGGACCCAGGUGUGCCACCUAGUCCACCGACAUAAGGGACCCCUGUGGACACUGCUGGUGGGCCCAGAGGCCCAGAAGUGGGGUCGCCCGACCCCACAUCAAAGGCGGUUCCAGGGUCGGUGGCCUCCCACCGACCUUCCCCACAUGUCCCACAUGUUGAUUUGCCCCUGCCGUUGAUCAAAUGGCGGUUGUGAGGUCGGUUUGAUCCAAGGGUGGAGAGAAGAUGUCACGCGGAUCGAUGACGUGGCGAUGGAGUAACCCCUACUCCAUCUCCCUCUAUAAAAGGCAGCCUCCAUCCUUCAUUUCAAGUGGGCAAUUCCAAGGCCAAGUGCAUUACAAGUUCCAAGCAUACAAGUAGAGUAGUAGUUAGUCUAGAGUGGGAGUUAGAGUCGAGUCGAGCGAAGCUCGGGGUCUCCGGAGUCGUCUUCUGGAGAGUCUGGUAUAGCUCUUGUACCUUUCUACUUUUGUAAGACUUUCCUUUUAUUAAUAUAUUAUUCUUACUUUACUUUACUGAGUUCUUACUUAGUGCAAGUCUUUUAGUCUUGUUGUGCAUUUACUUUAGUAAUAUAGUUGUCUUAGUGAAGUUAGUGACCUGUAACCACUCCUGUGUGUGCAUCAUCGUCCUAUCUUGUAUAGGAGCUCUAGCUAGCUGCAACUAGUUAGCGUUGUAGGAUUAAGUGUGAGCGUGGUGCUCAUACUUAAGAUUACCUUUGAUUACCGCUGGCUUGAACGGAAAGUAGGAGCGCACUCCCUAGUAGGUGACAGAUCGUGGGCGGCAUUAGGUUCUCCUCACGUACAGGCUAGUUCUUAAAAGGUAAGGCGUCCAUAAGCCCAAUAGUCGCUUUCGGUAAGGGGUUAGGUGAAAAACCUUCUAAGCGUCUUACCAGCUCGGCUAUCCCUCGCACACAGUUAGUAAGGCUCUAGCGUAGUUAAGGCAAUUAUCUAUUAAAGUAAGUCACAGAAGUCAAGUUAGAUACAUAGGAGUCCUUUACUCACUCGUUGUCCUCCCACCUAGCUAACUCUACCAUUUACCUUUAGCAUAGGACCUUGGAUUCACCACUACCCUUCCUAUUCGUUAUUUACCACCCUUAUUCACUAGUUGAUACUAGAUAACUCAAGGAAUCUCAUUCCCCUUUUUGUUAAACACACUUAGCCGCUUUCCCUUGGGAAAAUAUAAAUUACGAUACCUUGGAAUACUCCUUGGUGAAGUGCUACAGCGGUACAUUCUGUGCGCUUGCGGAAUUAUCCAAUAGUAAAUAGAGUUACCCUACCAGGGCACUCCUGGCGCCGUCGCCGAUAUCCGGUGGUUGCGUUAAGAAGUGUCAACAAGCAUUUCUGGCGCCGUUGCCGGGGAGAGCGUCUGUCUAAGAGUUUUAACAAAAAGAGAAUCCAGAGUUUGCUAGUUAUCAAGUAGUGAUAGGGAUAACCCAUCACUUGUCUUGUCUUCCUUUAUUGUGAAGCCUGACAGUGUAUGAGCGGUUUCCAGUUGCCGUCAAACUUCGUUGAAGAUCCUGAGCAACUGUUGAGGAGAACUAGACGUCGUCAAGUUCCACCUCAAAGGUUCAUCUCGAACCUGAAUCCGUUAGAGGAAGGAGUAUCUGCAUCGGUUAUCAAAGAAGCUAUGGCCCAGAAGACCAUCUCUGAGUACUCUGCGCCGUCGGCUGACAAUGUCGCCACGGGUCCGCAGCUUAACUUGGGGGAUGCGACUUUUGAGUUGAAGCCUGCGCUUAUCAAUAUGGUGCAAGCUAAUCCCUUCUGUGGAAAGCCACACGAGGAUGCCAAUGCCCAUCUCCAACACUUCUUGGAGGUGUGCGGCACCUUCACCAUCAAGAAUGUCGCCGCAGACGCCAUCCGUCUUCGCCUCUUCCCAUUCUCAUUAUUGGGGAAGGCGAAGCAAUGGUUCUACGCCAACAAGGGUGAAGUGACCACGUGGGAGAGGUGCGCCAAUGCAUUUCUCAAGAAGUUCUUUCCGAUGGGCAAGACCAGCGCCCUUCGUGGAAAGAUUUCCAGCUUCCAACAGCAAGCGGAUGAGACGAUUCCCGAAGCAUGGGAACGUCUGCAGGAGUACAUUCGCGCCUGUCCUCAUCAUGGGAUAGAGGAGUGGCUCCUAAUCCAAGGUUUCUACCAUGGCCUGACCGGUUUGGCCCGUAGUCACCUUGAUGCUGCCGCUGGAGGAGCAUUCUUGCAACACAAUGUCAAGGAUGCCAAGGACCUCAUUGAAAAGAUGGUUAUAAACCAAGGAUGGAAUGAGGAACGCCUCCAACCCAAGAGAAGAGGUGUCCAUGCCUUGAAUGAGGUGGACAUGCUCUCUGCUAAGAUGGACCUCUUAAUGAAGAAGAUGGAAGAAAGUUCCAAGCAAGAGACCAUUCAACCUUACGCCACUGCACGGGCCAUUGAAUCUGAUUCAUGGUGCGAAGUGUGCGGAGGAGAUGAUCAUUCGGGAAACAAUUGUCCCGAAACAAAGGAGGAAGUGAGCUUCAUCAACAACAACAACAAUGGGUACCGGCCCCAACAACAGCAAUGGAACUCGCGCCCCUUCUACCAAGGUAAUCAAGGUAAUGGUUACAAUCAAAAUUUCAAUAAUUCUUUUGGUAACCAACCUUCUCUUAGAGAUCUUGUCUUAGGCCAAUCUAAAAUCAAUGAUAGCAUUAACAAGAAAAUGAUGGCUAAUGAUAAGAUCCUUGAAAACUUAAGUGAAAAGUUGGAUAGCUUUAACUCUGCUAUGAAAAAUCAGUUGAGCUUUAACAAAAUGCUAGAAACACAAUUAGCUCAAUUAGCAGCAGCUGUCCCAUCCUUCGAGCAAGGUAAGAUCCCAGGGAAACCUGAGGACCCAAUUGAAGGAGUUAAACUAGUUACUACGAGGUUCGGUAAGCCUCCGGUACAAUCCAACUGGAGCUAUCUUCUGGAUUCGCCCUUCAUCACCAAGAAGGACGACCCAGGCCUGCCGACCAUCACCUGUGAGAUCGGACCGCAAAUCUUCCACAACGCCUUCUGCGACCUUGGAUCGGGUGUCAACAUCAUGGCCAAGGUAACUUAUGAUAAUUUGCUAGGGGGGCCUUUGCACCCCACAUUUGUUCGUUUGCAGAUGGCAGAUCAGACGAUCAGGUUCCCUGAGGGGUUGGCAAGGGACAUACUGGUAAAGGUCCAAGACGACUACGUCCCUGCCGACUUCAUCAUUUUGGAUAUGGGAUCCAAUAAUGAUGUCUCGAUCAUCUUGGGAAGGCCAUUCCUCAACACGGUCAAUGCAGUCAUCUAUGUGGGGUCCGGCCAGAUUCACCUCCAAUUCCCAGGAUGGAAGGUAAAAUGUCCAUUCAAUGGUUAUAAAGCUAACAUGCAGGUGAAGGACAAAGAACCUCCGACUAAGCCUCGCCACAUCCGACGCCGAAGGGACAAGAGAGGUAAGUCGGCCAAAAGGGCCGAAAAGAAAGAAGAGGAACCCGCUGAACCAAAAAUCAAUACCAAGCAAGUAUGGCGGGAGAAAGAGGUGCAAUCAAGGUCCACGUCUCCGGGACCAUCUGAUGCACCCGAAGGAUGAACAAGACGGAGAGGUCCUGCUCUACGGACCUAAAACAUGGAGACCUUGCUGAUAAGGUAAAUCAGUAGUUAUUCCAUAUUUAUUUUCUGCAUUUCAAUUUCUACUAUUCACUUUUCAAUUGCAUUCUUACUUUGAAUUUUGCAUAUCUUAUUUCGACAAAAUGUUUAGCCAUAAUAAAUAAAAUCUUGAGAAUAACUUGUCAUAAAAAUUUGAGCUGCUGGAGCUCCCAAAGGGGGGUCGCCCGACCCCACCUUGGGGCCCACUUCACCACAUUUCAACCUUGCUAGUCAUAGAGGUUCCAACCCAGCACUUGGAUGCUCUGGGAGCUCCAAUGUGGGGGUCGGCCGACCCCCAUAUUGGCCUCACUUGCCUCCUGCUGGCCACCAUUUGAAUCACAAUGGAGUCCUAUGCUUGUAACACUAGCUAAAGUUUGAAAAAGAGUGGUCUCUUGAUCCUUUACUUUAGUCAUAAGAUGCUCCUUUCAUCUUUGAUUCAUUUGGGACCACUCCACUAGCUUAAAUUCUGCAAAGUGGUCACCUAGGCAUGCUUGAGUGCUCCCAUGGUCCAUAGAAAUCACUUUAGACAUGUCUCCACUUUUGCCAUUCAUCUUUUACCUUUCACAAAGCACUAAAACAGGGAAUCUCAGAAACAAUUUGAAAACUUUUGGUCCACACCUAGCCUUUACUUUUCCGGACAAUCAAUGACACAAUGUUUAAAGUGGAGGAGGGGCUAGGAUGGGGGUCGGCCGACCCCCAUUUUGGACCAUCUCUGCAAAAUCUUGAAAGCAUGCAGAAUGGUUCCCUGUAUAAAGCUAAACUCAAAUUCAAAGUGCUUCUAGGGGGGGUCGGCCGACCCCUAUAUUGUGGGUCCACUACUUGCCCUUCUCCCCCUAUAAAUACCACAGCAUUGUGAGCUCAACUCCACACCUAAAACCACCAGAACCAUUUCGAGCUCACAAUCCUUUCUCUUCUCUCUUUGUUACAAGCCAUUUCUCAAGUUUAGUUUAGAAAUAGUCAUCAAAACAAAAACCCAAAAAGAUUCCCCUUGCAUAGUAGUAGUAGUAGGAGCUUGGUUUGCCUCACUUGUGUAGGAGGAUGAAGAAGCAUAUCUUCGGCAAGUUCAAGAAAGCAAAGGGUGAGAGCUCUUCUCAAGGCUCUCACCAUGCUCAUGGAAGGGAGGAAGAAGAAGGUUACCAUGGGAUGGUACCCUACGAGCCUCCAUCAAGGAUGAGAGAGCCCGAGAGCGGCCUCAUGUUAAGCCAAGAAGAGUUGCAAAGGUACUACAUCAUCCGAGAGGGUCUCUUCCUACACACUAGCAUCAUCGAUCCGGACCUUUUGGCCCGCACAGGUAUGGAUGUUGAAUUCGAUAAGGUGUUUAGAGCAAUUGGUUGGAGUAGUUUUUGGCAAGUGCCUGAAUUUGGAAAAGAAUUGCUUGCUAAGGAAUUUCUAUGCACCCUAAAACUCACAAAUAAUGGAAUAUCUUUUCGCAUGUGUGAGCAAGAACAUCAAUUAAAUUGGAGUUUGCUAAACACUGCUUUAGGGUGUGAACAUGAAUGUGAACUUGAUCUAGAUCAUGCCACUAGAAUGUUCGAUAAAAUUAGAUUCUGGAAAGCAAUUUCUGGCUCUAAUGAUUGUUCAAAUCCUACUCCCAUUGAAAUCCAUAAUCCAACCUUGCGCUUUCUUCACUUCUGGAUCAUGUGCACUCUAUAUCCUGGCAUGGGAACUGAUACUUUAAUUGAUGAUGAACUUAAAAUUCUCUAUGCCAUGGUUAGUAAAAUCAAGGUCUCCCCUGUGAAACUGCUAGUGAACUAUUGGCUUAACUCUAUUGAGUAUGGGAAGCCCAUCUAUUUCACAUCCUUUAUUACUCGAAUAGCCGAUACUUUUGGAUUACUUGAAUCACAUUAUUUUGAAGACAUUGGCUAUGUUAGAGGAGUGGUAGAUGAGAACUUCUUUAUCAAUGCUAACAUGCUCAUAAGAGAUCCAAAUGGUGAACUUAAAAUGAUUUAUCCGGGCUAUACAACCGAAAUUCCUCUCCCAUGUGCGAGGCGCCGGUUGUAUGGGGUCCGCACACUUACCAUUAGACUAGCCCGAGUGGCAAAUCCAGAUGUUGCAGGGACACGCAGGGUGACAAGAAGGAUGAUGCAAGCCGCCUAGAUGGAGCAAGGAGGAUCCUCGCACCAUGACGUUGAAGAGGGCGAUGAAGCGAUGUCAGUGGAUGCUUCAGACUCCAUGGGUCUACCUCCACAACGCACUCCACGCCCAAGGGACAGGGCUAGGCGUCACCAGCCCACAGGUAUGGACAGUCUCAUUAAUGACAUGGGCGAAUUGCAGAUUGGGCAAGAAGCAACAUUGCAACUGGCGUUACAAAACGGCCAACAUAUCCGACGUGUGCGAGAGGAAGACGCACAACGCUGGGCCGGAUGGUACCAGAAUUUCCCGCCACCACAGUGAGCGAAGAUCUAGCUUGGGGGAGAUCCUCUCCCCCACUAAGGUAAGUAUUCUAUCCUAUUUAUUUUCAUGCAUUUUAUCAUUCUUACUUAAAAAAAAAUAAAAAUAAAUAAAUAUUUAUUAGCAUUUCCCUUUAGCAUAUAUGCUUCAUGUAUGUUUAUAUCCCUCAUGGAAAUUAUGACUAGUUGCUUGUUAAUGUUUCUCUAGUGCCUAGUAUACAACUUAGUAUUUCUCUAAGUAUGGAUCACUUAGCUCACUUAAACUGCCAUGAACCUAAAAACUUUGUGGGUUGCAAGUGCUAGAACUAAGUCUAAGUUGUUGUGGGACAUGAGAUAGUAAGACAAGAGCUACUAUAAUAUUUUUCUAAGCAUGCAUGAUUAUCAGAGAUUUAUUCUUAAAAUGAUCAAAACCUUAAUUGUUCCUCAAUGGUGAUGAAUUCCUACCACAGCCAUAUCUACUUUACAUAAUUGCAACCUUUCCACAUAAGCUAUUUGCUUUGUGUUGAGUGUCGUCAAGUCUUGUUGACCCUUGUUAAGAGACUUUUCAUGCUCCUAAGAUCAAGAUCACGUACACACCACAUAUAUAUAUGCUGCUUCUACACUGGAAGUACGCAACCACAUGUAUUUCGCAUCCACUAAAUAGGUUGCUCCAUACUCUAAAUGUUAGAACAUCUCUCUAAGCAUUAUUUGGUAAAUGAGACAUCAAAAGGGCUAGGCAAAAUGAAAUAAAAAGAUGGACAUGUGCAAGUCCACAGAAAAAGAAAAUUGAGCACAUGAAAGCUCAUAUAUAUAAAAAAAAAGAAGAAAAAAAUGCUAGCCAUGUCUCAAUACAUAGAGAGUCUAUCAAAUAAAGGAGCAACCUAGUCCACCAUAUAUCACACUUGCACAUCUUGAUCUGGGAGUAUGACACUUCUCUUCAAGGAUCCGAGCUUUGACUUCGCAAUACAUGCAAAGUAAGUAUGCUAUCUCCUUUCAUCCCUACCUUGAACUCCACAUAAGCCUUUUAGAAAUAGGAUGAAAUAGAGAAGGCAACUCCUACCAUAUGCCUUGGUGAGGAAUCAUACACCAUUUGAGUGAUAUGAGAGAACCAUAAGAGGAACAUUUAAGCUUUCUUUUGAAAAUAUCACAAAACCUCUGAUAUGAAACUUGCUAAGAAUGAGAAAGUUAGUGCUCAAGUCAAACUGUUCUGUCUCUCAACCACCUAAGACAAAGGAAAAGCCAUAAGCCCCAUAAGGGACUAAGGUAAUAGGGGUAAGUUUACAUAGCUAAAUUUUUCAUGCAAAGAGAAGAACUUUGUUGUACACAUGGUACUCUUGAAAUGUGAACAUAGUAACAAUACCUGAUCCACCGAGGCUAAGUUUGAUUGUUUGCUCGGGACGAGCAAAGGUUAAGCUUGGGGGAUCUUGUUGACGGUGCAUAUACCAUAGAAAUCCACAUACAAAACACCGUCAACAUGCCUCGGUUGCAAGAGGAAACGACAUGACAUGAACAUAUUUUAUCCUUAACUAGUUCCACUUGUACUCUUAGCUUGUUUAUGCAGGAACAACAAAUUCAAGACAUUAUUUGACAAAGCCAACAUCAGAAUCAUCAAGAGGAGAUCGAGGGGACAACAGGUGACACCCUGGGCCCACAGGGAGGGGGUCGCCCGACCCCUCUUUGGUGGGACCCAGGUGUGCCACCUAGUCCACCGACAUAAGGGACCCCUGUGGACACUGCUGGUGGGCCCAGAGGCCCAGAAGUGGGGUCGCCCGACCCCACAUCAAAGGCGGUUCCAGGGUCGGUGGCCUCCCACCGACCUUCCCCACAUGUCCCACAUGUUGAUUUGCCCCUGCCGUUGAUCAAAUGGCGGUUGUGAGGUCGGUUUGAUCCAAGGGUGGAGAGAAGAUGUCACGCGGAUCGAUGACGUGGCGAUGGAGUAACCCCUACUCCAUCUCCCUCUAUAAAAGGCAGCCUCCAUCCUUCAUUUCAAGUGGGCAAUUCCAAGGCCAAGUGCAUUACAAGUUCCAAGCAUACAAGUAGAGUAGUAGUUAGUCUAGAGUGGGAGUUAGAGUCGAGUCGAGCGAAGCUCGGGGUCUCCGGAGUCGUCUUCUGGAGAGUCUGGUAUAGCUCUUGUACCUUUCUACUUUUGUAAGACUUUCCUUUUAUUAAUAUAUUAUUCUUACUUUACUUUACUGAGUUCUUACUUAGUGCAAGUCUUUUAGUCUUGUUGUGCAUUUACUUUAGUAAUAUAGUUGUCUUAGUGAAGUUAGUGACCUGUAACCACUCCUGUGUGUGCAUCAUCGUCCUAUCUUGUAUAGGAGCUCUAGCUAGCUGCAACUAGUUAGCGUUGUAGGAUUAAGUGUGAGCGUGGUGCUCAUACUUAAGAUUACCUUUGAUUACCGCUGGCUUGAACGGAAAGUAGGAGCGCACUCCCUAGUAGGUGACAGAUCGUGGGCGGCAUUAGGUUCUCCUCACGUACAGGCUAGUUCUUAAAAGGUAAGGCGUCCAUAAGCCCAAUAGUCGCUUUCGGUAAGGGGUUAGGUGAAAAACCUUCUAAGCGUCUUACCAGCUCGGCUAUCCCUCGCACACAGUUAGUAAGGCUCUAGCGUAGUUAAGGCAAUUAUCUAUUAAAGUAAGUCACAGAAGUCAAGUUAGAUACAUAGGAGUCCUUUACUCACUCGUUGUCCUCCCACCUAGCUAACUCUACCAUUUACCUUUAGCAUAGGACCUUGGAUUCACCACUACCCUUCCUAUUCGUUAUUUACCACCCUUAUUCACUAGUUGAUACUAGAUAACUCAAGGAAUCUCAUUCCCCUUUUUGUUAAACACACUUAGCCGCUUUCCCUUGGGAAAAUAUAAAUUACGAUACCUUGGAAUACUCCUUGGUGAAGUGCUACAGCGGUACAUUCUGUGCGCUUGCGGAAUUAUCCAAUAGUAAAUAGAGUUACCCUACCAGGGCACUCCUGGCGCCGUCGCCGAUAUCCGGUGGUUGCGUUAAGAAGUGUCAACACACAAACACACUAGAGAUACUGGACACUCAGGCAAUCACUGCCCUGAGAUGCUUGAGGACGUAACUACUGGAGUAACCCCGUUGUGGAAGUAAUUACUGACCUUCUGCCGGUCAAGAGAGACAAUCGAGGACGCCCCGUCAUCCCGAUCUCCCUCGGCAUGGUGGACUUCCUAGAAGCACUCUAUGACUUUGGCUCCAGCGUCGACAUUAUGCCCAGGCUUGCAGAUCGUACGCUAAGUUUCCCAAAGGGAAUAGUGAAGAACCUCUGCGUUCGAGUUGGUACCUUGUACGCCCUAGCAGACUUCGUGGUGAUAGAAACUGGUACUGCUGAGAGGGCACCCAUCAUCAUAGGGAGGCCAUUUCUGAACACCACAGGAGCUGUCAUCUACGCUAGUGCUGCCAAGAUCAGUUUCUACAUCAAGGGGAGGAAGGAGACGUUUUCCUUCAAGAACAAGAUUACACAAAUCUCAGAGCAAUCAAGACAUGAACCAAGGAAGAGGACCAAUAGGAGGAACAGAAACAAGCAAAUGUGGACUGAGUCAGCUAAGAUGAUCACUGUAGUUCAAGGAGGUCAAGAUCGUUGACUUAAGUCACCGUUUCUGACCAACAAGGACGACCCAGGAAUGCCAAGCAUUCAUUGCUCCAUCAAUGGGUAGAACUUCUACAAGAUGCUUUGCGACACCGGGUCAGGCGUCAGCAUAAUGGCCGCAGUCACCUAUCAGCUCCUGUUUGGAACCAUGCCCCUAAAACCGACAUACAUUCAGCUCCAGAUGGCAGAUCAGACAUUCCGAAAGGUUGAAGGUUAUUGACAUGGGAGAAGACGAAUUCGAUCCACCCGUCAUCCUUGGAAGACCGUUCUUUGGCACCGUUAAAGCAAUCAUAUACAUUGGAACCAGAGAAGUCCACAUGCAUUUCCCCUCUGAGAAGGUACGCCACUAUUUUACUGACCCUAACUAUAUAGUUGAAGACUCUAAGCAGGUCAGGACAAGAAGAAGACAACGCAACCGCAACCAGAGGAGGCAAAUUAUCAAGGACAGAUGGGCAGACUACGAAGGAGAAGUAGUAAGGUCUGAAGACAUACAACUUGAACAGAACUGUCCUGAGGAGACCGUAGCACCAAGUCAGGUGUGGAGAGAGAAGAUAGGUAUACACGAAGAGGAGGCGUUGCCGGAACCACCGACUACGCCAUCCAGCGAUUCCCAGGACGACUAAGGAAACGGAGAGUCCCGUUCGGAGGACUUAAAAACACCGAACGCCUUGCCAAGAGGUAAACUUGGUAGCUAUCUUUUCCCUUUCAAUUAUUUAAAAUAGUUUGCUUAGUUAAUCAGGUUCAUGCUAUCUUAAAAAGAAAAUAAAAAUGUUAAAAAUAGUAAGCCCCAUGUGAGUAUGCUCAUGGCAUAAAACCCAUAAGUACAUUCACUGUGGUGGCGUAAAAAUGAAAUAAAUAUAUUCCUGUCCUAUAAAAAUAAAAUUAUAAAAAUAAAUGAUCCUACUAAAAGAGUAACAUUUAUUGAGGAGGCUCAACAUGAUAAAGGCUAGAUACUUAUGCUAACACUUAACCAGUUCCACAAAGCUUUGUUGUCUAUUUGAGCUCCAUAGAAUUCAAGGAUCAAAGAAGACUAGCAGACGGAGGACAUCCUAAUCGCUGUCAGAGUGCUGCCGACAUUCAAAUACACCUCCGCCACCUGCUAGCUACAUCAGAAGAAAUUACGUCAAAAUCCAGCUUGGGGGAGAGCACCCCCAUUUAUCCAGCUAAGUGUUCUACUCACGUUUAUAUUUUACUUAAAUAAUAAAAAGAUGCAUAAUCAUAAAAACCCAAAUAAAGAUUUUGUACUUAUAUAUAUCUUUGCUUAGUUUGCUAAAUAAAUGAAUAAAUAAAGUUUGCUAUGAACCCUCAUGAUAAGCUCUCAUAUGGAAAUGAUGAAUAGUUGCUCUGCCAUGACUAGUUCUCAAAAUUGAAAUCUCUCUCAAGUUUAGGCAUGACUGUUAUGAAUUAAGAUUUGCUCUAAACCUGAACUUGUGGGAAGAGUACUUGAUCUAAAGUCUAAGUUGUUAACGGAUAUGAUAUGGAAAGGUUGAGCUACUGUUUAUCUGUUCCUAGAGAUGCUAGAAUUCUGGAGAAUUUUAUCUUUGAAAAUCUUUAAAAUAUCACAUGAUGAGUUCCUGUAUGAUGAGAGUUUAAAAUCCUACCAUAGCCAUAUAUACAUGCUUAUUAGACUAUGAACCAUACAAUUACUUUUUACUGCUUAUGAGCAUUGAGUGUGGUCAAGCUGUGUAGACCCUUAGGAGCUUGUCAUGUGGUUAAAAUCAAGAGUCACUUGCACGUUCACUCAUUCAUGCUACUUCUACUCUGGAAGCACACAUCCACAUAUAUCCACUCAUUUCCAUCUCCAGAAUCACCUAAAAAUAUUCUACACCUAAUCUAGGAGAGAAUAGCCAAAAACAUUUCUGUUUUUCCCUGUGAAAUAAAUGCUCAAGUUAUCUUGGUUACUACCACUUGCUAUAUUAUUUCAGGAGAUGAGUGCUCUAAAAAAAGAAAAAACAAGAAAGAAUAUGAGGAAAUAAAAAGGGGCAAGUGCCCGGAACCUCGAAAGAAAAGAAAAAGUGAGAAGAGAGGUAAAAAUGGACAAGUGUCUGACAGUAGAAUUAGGGGUACAAGAUACCCACCUGAGAGAAAAAAAAGGAAAAUAUAGAGCAUCUCAUUCUCCUCAAAAAGUUCCAAAAGAGCAAGAAAGUUAUGUAUCCCCUCAAAAGAGCACAAGUAGAAUUAGACUUUCACCAUUGUUAUCACCAUCAUUACCAUGCACCAUUCAUUCGCCACACAUGCACAUCUUGAUUUGACUUAUUGACUUGGUCUUCUGGAUCCAUGGUUUGACUAUGCAAUAAAUGUCUUGUAAGUAUGUAUUAGCUGUCUCCCACCUAUGAGCUCCAGAUAUCAAAAACCUUAUUAGAGUAGGGUGAGAGAGAAGGCAAUGUCACUAUGCCUCAUACCAAAAAUACCACAUACUUUGAGAGAAGGCAUACACCAUUAUUGCCUUGGUAAGGAUCCAGAAAUACCACAAAAGAGAGACUAGAGAGACUCAUACAAGGAAUCUCUGAGUUUUAUUUGAAAAUCUGCAGAAAUUCCAGAGCUAUAGUUAAUCGAAGAACAAGAGACAUGGCGCUUGACUAGACCGUUCUAUCUUUUAACUGCUCAAGACACAAGUGACGGUUGCAAGCCCCAUGGCGGAAGGUACAAUGGGUAAGUUUAAAUCUUAACAGUUUACCCUAACCCAGAGAUGAGAUCUUGUUUGAACGCAUGUAUAUCUUUAAGGCAUGAAACCACUGUAGAAACUCUUGAGUCCAUCUUUGCUCAGGGACGAGCAAAGGAUAAGCUUGGCAGAGCUUGUUGACGGUCCUUAAUGCUCACAUUUAACCAUCAACUAAUCAUAGAAAAUGACUUAUAUGCAACCAACACCUAGACUUAGGGUUUUAUCUGACAGAAUUCCACGAGUUUUGGUGUUUGUCUAUUUCUGCAGGGGGUUAUCAGGAAAUACGGAGGAAAGGCCCACACGUCGGGUUUACAUAGAGAUAUUAACGUGCCGCACAAUUUUCUAUCAUCUAGAAGACUCCAGAAGCCACGGGACCAAAGCGGAGGCCAAGAGGACUCAGGGACAGGGCGCCCGCCCUACUCUCCUGGGCGCCCGCCCUCAUAUAGAGUCCAAUCAGGACUCUCUUUUGGGAUAUUGCUCCACCGACCUAAAGGAUCAAGGAUAACCGUUCAAUUAAUGUCGGUUUGAUCCAACGACCCAGAUUCACUUGAAGGGACUACAAAACCAGACCCCCUGGCCCCUAGAGAUCAUACCUCUUCUACAGAAUCAAAGUUAGGGUUUCAAUUCUUCAUCCAAGUAGAGAGGAUCCCUCUAGUUCUUCUAGUUCUACCUCUAGUUCAUCUAGAUCUAGUUCUAGUUCCUCUAGUUCUAGUUCUAGUUAGUUCUAGUUGUAAUCUAGAAAAUAGGGAGAGAGAAGAGGAGAGCGGAGGAGGAGCCGGAUCUGUC